CAGCCAGACUCCUACGGGAGGCAGCAGUGGGGAAUAUUGGACAAUGGGGGGAACCCUGAUCCAGCGACGCCGCGUGAGUGAAGAAGUAUUUCGGUAUGUAAAGCUCUAUCAGCAGGGAAGAGAGAAAUGACGGUACCUGACUAAGAAGCCCCGGCUAACUACGUGCCAGCAGCCGCGGUAAUACGUAGGGGGCAAGCGUUAUCCGGAUUUACUGGGUGUAAAGGGAGCGUAGACGGCCAGACAAGUCAGAAGUGAAAGCCCAGGGCUCAACUCUGGGACUGCUUUUGAAACUGCCGGGCUGGAGUGCAGGAGAGGUAAGCGGAAUUCCUAGUGUAGCGGUGAAAUGCGUAGAUAUUAGGAGGAACACCAGUGGCGAAGGCGGCCUACUGGACUGUAACUGACGUUGAGGCUCGAAAGCGUGGGGAGCAAACAGGAUUAGAUACCCUAGUAA
rnacentral:rRNA from 1 species